AAACAAUUGUAACAUGAAGCAUAUAAAACAUUAAAAUUCAGUUAUUUCAAUUUUGUUGUCACUGUAGAAACCAGUGAAUUACAUAUUUUAUAACAAAGCCAGAAUGCUUUAUUUUAGAUAAUAUGACAAAAAUAGAAACAGAUGUCCUGCAGAGAGUGUGUGUGUGUGUGUGUGUGUGUGUGUGUGUGUGUGUGUGUGUGUGUGUAAGGCUGGCAGCUGAAGGACAGUUUGAUGGGUGCUUUGGGACUACGGCAUGCCAAGAAAAGGAUUUACAUCCCUGAAAACACACAGAACAUCCUCAUCCAAGUGUGAUGAUCGCGCACACACACACACACACACACACACACACACACAGUCUUUUUUCAUGCACACAUUUGAUAGGCUAUUCAAUAAAAAUCAGGCCAAAAUUCAGAUCAGCAAGGACCUCCCUGCUGGCUUUCUUGUCUCCCAAACACACUUACCCAACAGGGGCAGAAUUGGCAGUUUGAUAACCGAAUGACAAAUGUUAGAGAAACCGUCUGAACCAUGAUCACAUCUAUAAUCCUUCCAGACCUGUCAGAGAGAGUGGGAAAAAAACAGGGAAGAUGAAGACGCUACUCAACAAACCUCCAUACACAAGGCGUUCGAAAAGAACUCCACUUGACGACUGCCACUGUUCACAGGUCACUUCAUCCCACUGCCCUUUUCUCUCGAAAGACAUUUACCUGCCCACAUGACUGUGCGGCUGCAUUUCUCAGCACACCAACAAGACACGGAGGAGGCUGGAUGGAUACUGGUCAACAAUCUCAGUGGGUUCUGGAAGCAUACAAGACAGCAUGCGAGCAGCAUUGGCUCUAUGUGCGUCUCAACAAAGUACAGUUUGAAAACCAUCGAUCAGGAGGAACUCUCAGCAGUGUUUACCCAUCACGCCUCCUGUUAUUUUCCCAAAAACUGCUUUGAGUUGAGCAGGAGUGAUGCAUGAUUUUGAAGGCUCUUCUGAUUCGAGCCGCCAUAUGGACGUACUGUAUAUGUGCAAAGAAAACACUCCUAAAGGAAGCCGAAUGGCAAAGUAUUGAUGGAAUACAGAGAGAAAGCAAUACAUGCAAUGAUGGAGAGCAGGAUCAAAAGACAUGUGCAAAAUGAGCAUCAUGUAAGCCGUCUUUUGCUUCUAGUUUAUUGCAUUCAUAUUCUACAGCUCUAUUGAGCUUUUUCCCCCACAGUCUGUCACCGGUUCAAAUACACAGCAUUUUUAUUGAGCAAGUGUGUUUUUCAGGGGGUGGUUUUGGUGUGUUUUAAAGGCAAUCUACAACUCUGUUCCAGAAUAGCAUGUGAAAUGAAGCUCACCAUCGAAGAUUAUGCGGACCAUACCGGCAGUCAAUUGGCACAGGGUGUAUGGGUCUUUUGUGUGGCGCCUGGCAGCAUUUUAGAUUGUUUGCCUGCCAGGAAAUGACAGAUUGGGUUUGAACAGUGGGAUUCCCUCCCCAUCAGAGUUUCUUAAAGACUUUGGCGUGGGAUAAGCUGAAAAAAAAAAAAGAUUGAAAUUGCACUAGCAUAUUAGGGCAAUCCAUUAAAAUGGUAUUUUUGUUGGGGGGGGGGUGGCUUUGAUGGAGAAAGCUGGGAAAAAGUGCUACAUACAGUACAUAAACAAGGCGUGACAUCCUUGGAAAUUAUAGAGAAAUGUCAUUGGAUUUUGAAAGGACAUUUACACACAUAUAUGCACACAUGUUUGAUGGUUUAGCUGUGAUUAGAGAGUGUUUUGGUCUCGGCUGCAGGCUGAGUAAAUGGGAGAGUGAGGCCUCCUGCAGCUCUUCAGAGUUAUAAUCACCCAUCAGCAGGACUCGGGGAGAAAUAAGAAGGGUGGAAAUACGGGGCUGUUCUCGCAAACAGCUUCAGAGUUAAUUACCUCUGGAUGCACUGUCCUGAAGUUUGGCUUGCAAUAACCAUUUUCACUCUUAAUACAUGUAUUCCUCAGAUGUUCUUCU
ensembl:lncRNA